CAGUCGCCACGGUAAUACGUAGGUGGCAAGCGUUGUCCGGAAUUAUUGAGCGUAAAGGGCUCGCAGGCGGUUUCUUAAGUCUGAUGUGAAAGCCCCCGGCUCAACCGGGGAGGGUCAUUGGAAACUGGGAAACUUGAGUGCAGAAGAGGAGAGUGGAAUUCCACGUGUAGCGGUGAAAUGCGUGGAGAUGUGGAGGAACACCAGUGGCGAAGGCGACUCUCUGGUCUGUAACUGACGCUGAGGAGCGAAAGCGUGGGGAGCAAAUGGGAUUAGAUACCCCUGUAGUCCCUGUCUCUUAUAC
rnacentral:rRNA from 1 species